CAGAGCACUUGAUCUACAGAACUUCAAGGACGUCAACCCGGCUGUACUCCCGUCUUCAGGAUGAAAACUACCCUGGUACUGCUUCUGGCUGUGCUGGUCAUCUCGUCUGAAAUUAUGACCGCUGAAAGCCAUUUCAGGCUUGGAAGGGCACUUGAGCGUGCUUCCAAGUCUAACCGUGAGGAAGUGACGGCCCUGAAGUCGUUGUUGGCCGAGGCUGAACGCCGCGAGAUGGCCAGGGAGCUGGAGAAACGGGACGUGGACGACGCCAUGGCGGACAUGAUGGAGGAAACGGAAUGAAGAAAAUGACAGCCGCACCGACCACGAGAACAUCACGUGACCGUCACGUGAACAUUGAUGACUGUUAAGCAUGCGCAGACAUCUAUAAGUGAUAAUGUUACGAACUGUGGCUUUUUGGUAAUAACCUAGUCGUAAGCCCUACUGAUGUAGUUGGCACUAAGAGCAAGAAAGAAAAGAAGAAAUAUAAGGAAAUAUGAGGAAUUUUGAUGAAUGUCGUUGUACCGACUAUAUAAUGUUAUGUAGAGUUACUGUAUUGCGUCUUACUAACGUUACUUGCACGAAGUUUGCAUGCAUUUUCUCCACCACCUAAAAUUAUUAUAGUUCUAACUCCAACUGGUUGCUUUAAACUAAAAAUCAUGACAAAUUGUAAUAUUGCAUGCGAUUUCGCCGAAUUAUGCAAUAUGAAUUUGGAUAUAUUUCAGAGCUGUUCAAAUAUUCAGUCAUAUUGCCUUGCCAUAAAAGACGGCGAAUAAAAUUUUGAAAACUUCAAA